UGUUGUUGAGAGCUGUGAACUGGUCCAGCCAUUUUGGGGAGCAGUCUGGAGUUGUGCCAAGGGAAUUGUCGAGCUGUGUGUGCCUUUUGGCCCAGUGGUGCCAUUUUCAGAUGAGGAAACAAUUUUAUCCUUUCUCCUUGGGAUAAGCAGAAGUAGAGAUAUCUUCCUUGCCAGGCCAUAAUAAGAGGCGAAUGUCAGGAACCCGGAAGGACCAGAGAGAAGUUGGUGUCAGUAAUUGGCUCAUUGCUCCUUGA
rnacentral:lncRNA from 1 species